CCCUUAGAUGUCCUGGGUCGCACGCGCGCUACACUGAUGCAUUCAACGAGUUUUACCUUGGCCGAGAGGCCUGGGCAAUCUUUUAAACCUGCAUCGUGAUAGGGAUAGAUUAUUGCAAUUAUUAAUCUUGAACGAGGAAUUCCUAGUAAACGCAAAUCAUCAAUUUGCAUUGAUUACGUCCCUGCCCUUUGUACACACCGCCCGUCGCACCUACCGAUUGAAUGGUCCGGUGAAGCCUCGGGAUUGUGGCCAGUUCACUUUAUUGGGAGUUGGCUGUGAGAACUUGUCUAAACCUUAUCAUUUAGAGGAAGGUGAAGUCGUAACA
rnacentral:rRNA from 1 species